rnacentral:rRNA from 1 species
UACGUAGGGGGCAAGCGUUGUCCGGAAUUAUUGGGCGUAAAGGGCGCGUAGGCGGCCUGCUAAGUCGGACGUGAAAUCCCCAGGCUCAACCUGGGAACUGCAUCCGAUACUGGAUGGCUUGAAUCCGGGAGAGGGAUGCAGAAUUCCAGGUGUAGCGGUGAAAUGCGUAGAUAUCUGGAGGAAUACCGGUGGCGAAGGCGGCAUCCUGGACCGGCAUUGACGCUGAGGAGCGAAAGCUAGGGGAGCAAACGGG